ACCAGCUGGCUGGUUCCAUGAGGUGACUUCUGCCCAGUGCUCUGAUUGUCAAUGCGAAGAGAUUCAGCCAAGCGCGGGUCAACGGCGGGAGUAACUAUGACUCUCUUAAGGUAGCCAAAUGCCUCGUCAACCAAUUAUUGACGCGCAUGAAUGGAUCAACGAGAUUCCUGCUGUCCCUAGCUGCUGUCUGGUGAACCAACAGCCAAGGGAACGGGCUUGGAUGUGUCAGCGGGGAAAGAAGACCCUGUUGAGUUUGACUCUAGUUUGAUGCUGUGCAACGACAUGUGGGGUGUAGCACAGGUGGGAGGCAAGUGCCAUCCAGGAGAGUCCCUUGUGGACCAGGUGAGACCAUGUGCUUCACAGCACUCAUGGAAGGUUCCUGCAGUGAUCCUGGUGCAAGCCAGCAGUGAAAUACCACUACCUUCACCGUCGUUUUACUCAUCGAGUGGCUUGGGAACAGUGGCCAAUCAACAGUCAGUCACUGCACUCCUGUGGUGGCUGGGGCCUUGACCUGCUUCGUGAGUCAAGCACUGUGCUCUGUGCAGUGUGACCCAGAGCUUCUGCUCUGGUCCAUGGAUUGGUGCCUCGGGACAAUGAUCAGUUGGGGAGUUUGGCUGGGGCGGCACGCCUGUUACAGGACAACGCAGGCGUCCUGAAGCAUUGCUCAGAUGGAACAGAACUCUGCCAUGGAGGAGCAGGCCAAAGGUGCUGCUGAUGCUGUGACUUCCAGUACAAGUCCAAAAUGUGCAAGCAUGGCCUUACGAUCCUUUGGUCACCCACUCGGGUCCAGGGUAUUGGAGCCAGAGGUGUCAGAAAAAUUACCACAGGGAUAACUGGCUUGUGGCUGCCAAGCGUUCAAAGCGACGUUGCUUUUUGAUCCUUCGAUGUCGGCUCUUCCUAGCUUCCCACUCGCAGCAGGGUGGAAGAGUUGGAUUGUUCACCCACCAACAGGGAACGUGAGCUGG
rnacentral:rRNA from 1 species